GACAGUUGUAGGUAAAGUGACAGAUAAGUACGACUGAUGCAACUCUAGAGGAAAUAUGGGGGCAGUUAUUCCACUGGGCGUAGUUACAAGGAAGUCUCAAGUUGUUUACAAACAAUUCAUGGCACGAAUGCGUUCCGAAUGGUAAACGUAUGUAGGUUCAAGGAAAACCUGCGCAUGCCUAAACAAUAAUUUGGUACGGGAUUAAGCAUAUCAAUGGGAACGAUGCGGUAGCAUUGAUAGAGUUUAAAUAACAUGUGGAUCUUCAACUUCGAAGAGUAUACAGCAUAUUAUGUGCUUUAUCCGAAAAAACACAGGAUAAACUCAGCCGGCUUUAGUAUUCAAAUCGGGAUAAAGACUCGGAUAAACUCAGUUUGGAGCAAGAUUGACCCAUAGCAGAUCACUGGGGAAGGGUUAUGCACGUUGAAUUGCAAGAGAGAACCGCUGUUCGGAUAGGAAUGAUAGAAACGACUACGGCGGCAACGUUGUCUGGGUAAAAUGGUCUUUAUUGAAUUUCAAACGUAACUUGUUUUAGCAAAAAUAUUACUAGAGCGACAUAAAGACCUAUAUUUAAAAACACUACUAAAACUGUUCCCCCCUAUGGCUCUGUUGAGAGAACGCAAACAUAAGAAAGGGCUAAGUGAACAUCAAGCUACGUCAAGCGAACCCUAACAAGAAAACUGUGUGGGCUCUAGUCCAACUUUUUUUUUACGAAAUAUCAAUAGUUACCCCCCCCCCCCCCCCCCCCCCUUACCUCCCCUCCUCUAGCCCUAGGGCUGUAUAUUUUGUAAGCCAGUACCACUAGGGUCCGGGAAAUUGCCACUUAUAGAUGUUAAGUUACCACUUAAUAUCGGCAAAUGAUGCGUUACUGUAUAUAAACAGAGAAGCGAGAAAUACCUGAGACAAAAAGGCAAGUAAUAUCAAAAUGUUUAUCACGAAUCAGUGUGUGGCUCAACGAAUUAAAUAAAUAGAAAAAUCAUCUGUUAA